rnacentral:rRNA from 1 species
CAGUAGCCGCGGUAAUACGUAGGUGGCAAGCGUUGUCCGGAAUUAUUGGGCGUAAAGCGCGCGCAGGCGGAUAGGUCAGUCUGUCUUAAAAGUUCAGGGCUUAACCCCGUGAUGGGAUGGAAACUGCCAAUCUAGAGUAUCGGAGAGGAAAGUGGAAUUCCUAGUGUAGCGGUGAAAUGCGUAGAUAUUAGGAAGAACACCAGUGGCGAAGGCGACUUUCUGGACGAAAACUGACGCUGAGGCGCGAAAGCCAGGGGAGCGAACGGGAUUAGAUACCCGCGUAGUCCCUGUCUCUUAUACA